AAUUUGAAUUAAGCAAUUUAUUUUAAUAAUUAAUUUUUAAAAAAUUUUUAAUAAAAAUAUUUUAAUUUUUUUUUAUAGUUAUAGAUAAAAAUUUUUUUAUUAUAGAUAAUUAGUAUAGAGAUAGAAUUAUUUAAAUAUAUGAAAAUUUAAAAUAUAUAAAAGAAAAUUUAAGUUAUUGUACCUUGUGUAUCAGGGUUUAUUAAAUAAGAAUUAUUUAAUUUGAUUUUCUCGAAUUUAAAAGAGCUAAUAAAUUAUAAAUUUUAUUGUAAUAUAAAUAUUUAAAAUAAUUUAUUAGUAAUGAAACGUUAGUCGUUUUUAAAUUUAUCUAGUUUUUUAAGAAAUAAAUUUAAUUUAGUUAUUUAUUAUUAAAUUUAAAUUAAUUUAUAUUUAAAUUUAUAUAAAUAAGUAAUAUUUUAAGGGAUAAGCUUUAAAAUAAAAUUUUAAAAAUAAAAAUUUUAUUUAUUUAAAAUUUAUAGGAGUAGAAGUAUCAAUUUUUUAUAGUGUUUUAUAACAAAUUUUAUUUUAUUUAAAAAUUUAUAUAUUAUUUUUAAUUUUUUAUUAAAAUUAUUAAUUUAAUAAUUUAAAUUAAUGUGAUAAUGAUAAAAUUAGUAUAAAUUUAAUGUUAUAUAAUUUAAUUUAUAAAGGUUAAAUUAAGGAAUUCGGCAAAUAGUUUUUCCGCCUGUUUAUUAAAAACAUGUCUUUUUGAUAAUAAUAUAAAGUCUGACCUGCCCUAUGAUUUUAAAAUUAAAUGGCCGCGAUAUUUUGAUCGUGCAAAGGUAGCAUAAUCAUUAGUUUCUUAAUUAGGAACUGGAAUGAAAGGUUGAACGAGAAAAAAACUGUCUCAAUUUAAUUUAAUUAGAAUUUUAUUUUUGAGUAAAAAAGCUUAAAUAAUUUUAAAAGACGAGAAGACCCUAUAGAGUUUAAUAUUUAAUAAAUUUUAAAAAAUAUAUAGUAUAUAAUUUUUUAUUUUUUAUAGAAUAUUUAGUUGGGGUGACUAUAAAAUUGAAUAAACUUUUUUUAAUUUUAAACAUUGAUAUAUGAAUAAUUGAUCCAUAAAUUAUGAUUAAAAGAUUAAAUUACCUUAGGGAUAACAGCGUUAUUUUUUUUAAGAGUUCAUAUCGAAAAAAAAGUUUGCGACCUCGAUGUUGGAUUAAAAUUUACGUUUGGUGUAGGUGCUAAAUAGUUAGGUCUGUUCGACCUUUAAAAUUUUACAUGAUCUGAGUUUAAACCGGUGUAAGCCAGGUUGGUUUCUAUCUUUAAAAAAAUAAGAUAUUUUAGUACGAAAGGAUUAAAUAUUUUUAAUAAUUAAUUUAUAAAGAUUAUUUUUAAUUUUAAAAUUACUUUGGCAGAAUAGUGUUU
rnacentral:rRNA from 1 species